GAAUGUGAAGGUGAUCUGGGUGUGACAUCUGUUACACCAUUAAUCAUUGGGGUUGAUUCAGCUGAUCUGGCUAGGAAGGUGUUCCCUUCUUCCCUUACCACUCCAUGUGCAUUCCUCUCAAAGCUGUGCCCUUGGAGGAAGGGAGUGACUUUCCCCAUGAAUAGAGGAGGGCCAUUCUUUAGUUGAGGGUAUAUGAGUAGUGUUGCUCCCCUGCUAGAACCUCCAAACAAACUCUCAAGAACACAGGAAAGGAAUUUUCAGACAAGAUGGGAAAGCCCUGGCAUGAAAGCAAAAGUCUUAGAAAAUCAUGAGAAGGGGUGGUCCAACUUC
rnacentral:snRNA from 1 species